GCCAGGCAUGGUGGCUCAUGCCUGUAAUCCCAGCACUUUGGGAGGCUGAGGUGGGCGGAUCACCUGAGGUCAGGAGUUCAAGACCAGCCUGGCCAACAUGGUGAAACCCCAUCUCUA
rnacentral:SRP_RNA from 1 species